AGAGUUUGAUCCUGGCUCAGAACGAACGCUGGCGGCGCGCCUAACACAUGCAAGUCGAACGCGAAAGGGGGCAACCCUGAGUAAAGUGGCGCACGGGUGAGUAAUACCUAGGUAAUCUACCUUAUUGACCGGAAUAACCAGUCGAAAGAUUGGCUAAUACUGGAUAGAGCGAUUAAGCGAGAGUUUAGUUGGGAAAGGGUGGCUUGGGCAACCAAGCUAUUGCGAUGAGAUGAGCCUGGGUCCCAUUAGCUAGUUGGUGAGGUAAUGGCUCACCAAGGCGAUGAUGGGUAGCUGGUCUGAGAGGACGAUCAGCCACACUGGAACUGGAACACGGUCCAGACUCCUACGGGAGGCAGCAGUGGGGAAUCUUGCGCAAUGGGCGAAAGCCUGACGCAGCGACGCCGCGUGGGUGAAGAAGGCCUUCGGGUUGUAAAGCCCUGUCGAGUGGGAAAAAUGGCACACUAAAUAAUACGUAGUGUGAUUGAUGGUACCACUAAAGGAAGCACCGGCUAACUCCGUGCCAGCAGCCGCGGUAAUACGGAGGGUGCAAGCGUUGUUCGGAAUUAUUGGGCGUAAAGGGCAGGUAGGUUGUCUAGUAAGUCUGCUGUGAAAUCCCCGAGCUUAACUUGGGAACUGCGGCGGAUACUGCUAGACUAGAGUGCCGGAGGGGUGCGUGGAAUUCUCGGCGUAGCGGUGAAAUGCGUAGAUAUCGAGAGGAACACCAGAGGCGAAAGCGGCGCACUGGACGGCAACUGACACUCAACUGCGAAAGCGUGGGGAGCAAACAGGAUUAGAUACCCUGGUAGUCCACGCUGUAAACGAUGGAUACUAGACGUGGUGGGAUUUGACCCCUGCCGUGUCGAAGUUAACACGAUAAGUAUCCCGCCUGGGAAGUACGGUCGCAAGACUAAAACUCAAAGGAAUUGACGGGGGCCCGCACAAGCGGUGGAUCAUGUGGUUUAAUUCGAAGCAACGCGAAGAACCUUACCUGGACUUGACAUCCUCUGAAUGCGGUAGAGAUAUCGUAGGCUCGCAAGAGACAGAGAGACAGGUGCUGCAUGGCUGUCGUCAGCUCGUGUUGUGAAAUGUUGGGUUAAGUCCCGCAACGAGCGCAACCCCUACUUUUGGUUGCCAUCAUUAAGUUGGGCACUCCAGAGGGACUGCCGUCGUUAAGACGAAGGAAGGUGGGGAUGACGUCAAGUCCUCAUGGCCUUUAUGUCCAGGGCGACACACGUGAUACAAUGGUAGGUACAGAGGGAAGCCAAACGGCGACGUGGAGCAAAUCCCAAAAAACCUAUCUCAGUUCGGAUUGGAGUCUGCAACUCGACUCCAUGAAGCUGGAAUCGCUAGUAAUCGCGGAUCAGCACGCCGCGGUGAAUACGUUCCCGGGCCUUGUACACACCGCCCGUCAAGCCAUGGAAGAUGGGAGUACCUGAAGUAGGUAGCUUAACCUUCGGGAGGGCGCUUACCACGGUGAGCUUCAUGACUGGGGUGAAGUCGUAACAAGGUAACC
rnacentral:rRNA from 1 species